GCCAGCAUGGCGUAGCGGUUUGAGUGUUGGACUGCGACUCUGAAGACCAGGAUUCGAAUCCCCACUCGGCCA